UCAAGUGAAUAAGUGCAUGUGGUGGAUGCCUUGGCGAUUACAGGCGAUGAAGGACGUUGUAGCCUGCGAAAAGCCGCGGGGAGCUGGCAAACAAGCUUUGAUCCGCGGAUGUCCGAAUGGGGAAACCCACCCGCAAGGGUAUCGCUGACUGAAUUCAUAGGUCAGCGAGGCGAACGUGGCGAACUGAAACAUCUAAGUAGCCACAGGAAAAGAAAUCAACCGAGAUUCCGAAAGUAGUGGCGAGCGAAAUCGGAGCAGCCUGUGCGUGAUAGUCGAUUGGCUAGUGGAACGGUAUGGAAAGGCCGGCCAUAGAGGGUGAUAGCCCCUUACACGAAAGCGAAUCGGUGGUACUGAGCGUACGACAAGUAGGGCGGGACACGUGUAAUCCUGUCUGAAGAUGGGGGGACCAUCCUCCAAGGCUAAAUACUCGUAAUCGACCGAUAGUGAACAAGUACUGUGAAGGAAAGGCGAAAAGAACCCCGGGAGGGGAGUGAAAUAGAUCCUGAAACCGCAUGCAUACAAACAGUCGGAGCCUCGCAAGGGGUGACGGCGUACCUUUUGUAUAAUGGGUCAGCGACUUACGUUCAGUGGCAAGCUUAACCAGAUAGGGGAGGCGCAGGGAAACCGAGUCCGAAUAGGGCGCCAUAGUCGCUGGGCGUAGACCCGAAACCAGGUGAUCUAUCCAUGGUCAGGAUGAAGGUUGGGUAACACCAGCUGGAGGUCCGAACCGACUAAUGUUGCAAAAUUAGCGGAUGAACUGUGGAUAGGGGUGAAAGGCUAAUCAAACCUGGAAAUAGCUGGUUCUCCCCGAAAACUAUUUAGGUAGUGCGUCAUGUAUUGCUCCAGGGGGUAGAGCACUGUAAUGGUUGUGGGGGCCAUCGCGGCUUACCACGCCAUAGCAAACUCCGAAUACCUGGAAGUAUGAGCAUGGCAGACAGUCGCCGGGUGCUAACGUCCGGCGGCAAGAGGGAAACAACCCAGACCUACAGCUAAGGUCCCAAAGUGUGGCUAAGUGGGAAACGAAGUGGGAAGGCUAAAACAGUCAGGAUGUUGGCUUAGAAGCAGCCAUCAUUUAAAGAAAGCGUAAUAGCUCACUGAUCGAGUCGUCCUGCGCGGAAGAUGUAACGGGGCUAAGCCAUGCACCGAAGCUUAGGCUGCACUCUCUGAGUGCGGGGUAGGGGAGCGUUCUGUAAGCCUGUGAAGGUGUCUCGUAAGGGAUGCUGGAGGUAUCAGAAGUGCGAAUGCUGACAUGAGUAGCGUUAAAGCGGGUGAAAAGCCCGCUCGCCGUAAGCGCAAGGUUUCCUACGCAACGUUCAUCGGCGUAGGGUGAGUCGGCCCCUAAGGUGAGGGCGAAAGCCAUAGCUGAUGGGAAGCUGGUUAAUAUUCCAGCACCGAUUUCUAGUGCGAUGGGGGGACGGAUCGUGGAAGGUUGUCCGGGUGUUGGAAGUCCCGGUUCCUGACCUGUAGGUGUCUGGUAGGUAAAUCCGCCAGGCGUAUGCCGAGGGGUUGGGACGAGCGAGCUUGCUCGCGAAGCAACUGGAAGUGGUUCCAAGAAAAGCCUCUAAGCUUCAGCUAGAAACGACCGUACCGCAAACCAACACUGGUGCGCGAGAUGAGUAUUCUCAGGCGCUUGAGAGAACUCGGGAGAAGGAACUCGGCAAAUUGACACCGUAACUUCGGAAGAAGGUGUGCCUUGGUAGCUUGAGUGUGAACAACACAAGGGCGAAGAGGUUGCAAAGAAUAGGUGGCUGCGACUGUUUAUUAAAAACACAGCACUCUGCAAACACGAAAGUGGACGUAUAGGGUGUGACGCCUGCCCGGUGCCGGAAGGUUAAGUGAUGGGGUGCAAGCUCUUGAUCGAAGCCCCGGUAAACGGCGGCCGUAACUAUAACGGUCCUAAGGUAGCGAAAUUCCUUGUCGGGUAAGUUCCGACCUGCACGAAUGGCGUAACGAUGGCCACACUGUCUCCUCCCGAGACUCAGCGAAGUUG
rnacentral:rRNA from 1 species